rnacentral:rRNA from 1 species
GAUGAACGCUGGCGGCGUGCCUAAUACAUGCAAGUCGAGCGAACAGACGAGGAGCUUGCUCCUUUGACGUUAGCGGCGGACGGGUGAGUAACACGUAGGUAACCUACCUAUAAGACUGGGAUAACUUCGGGAAACCGGAGCUAAUACCGGAUAAUAUUUCGAACCGCAUGGUUCGAUAGUGAAAGAUGGCUUUGCUAUCACUUAUAGAUGGACCUGCGCCGUAUUAGCUAGUUGGUAAGGUAACGGCUUACCAAGGCAACGAUACGUAGCCGACCUGAGAGGGUGAUCGGCCACACUGGAACUGAGACACGGUCCAGACUCCUACGGGAGGCAGCAGUAGGGAAUCUUCCGCAAAGGGCGAAGGCCUGACGGAGCAACGCCGCGUGAGUGAUGAAGGUCUUCGGAUCGUAAAACUCUGUUAUUAGGGAAGAACAAACGUGUAAGUAACUGUGCACGUCUUGACGGUACCUAAUCAGAAAGCCACGGCUAACUACGUG